rnacentral:piRNA from 1 species
UGUCUGACUUACUGCUUCAACAAACCAGAA